rnacentral:lncRNA from 1 species
AUUUUGUAUCCGACACAUGAAAUAAGUUAAGUGUAAGUCUAAAGGAAGUAAUCGAUAAAUUAAAUAGUCAGUAAUUUAAUUUGAUUGAUUAAUGUCUGAAUCUUAACAUGAGGAGUUAAAUAAGGUUUUAUGGAAAAAUUUCGAAAUUGAACUAAGGAGUGCAAUUACGAAUUUUUAGUGGAAUAAUUCGUAAUUUAUUAUGAUGGAAAUUAAUUUCAGAAUUUCGAAAUUAAUAUCAUAUAGUAAGCCUUGUUAAUUAAAUUAUGUGGUUCCUACUGUGACUAAAUAAUAGGAAAUAAUGGAAACUGUUACUGAGUUGGAAAGAAAAUGUGGAAACCGGCCUUUAGUGGGAGAAGGAAACCUAACAGGUUUUGAAAACGGUUUUGACCUAAAAAACGCAGCUAUAGGCCCUUAGUGGGAGAAGGAAACCUAACAGGUUUUGAAAACAGUUUUGACCUAAAAAAUGCAGAUAUAUAUAUACAUAUAGGGGCUGGACGUUUUUGACACAAUUUUGACUGCGGUUUCUACUAGAAUUUU